rnacentral:tRNA from 1 species
GAGGGUAUAGCUCAGUGGUAGAGCAGGUGCUUAGCAUGUAUGAUGUCCUGGGUUCAAUCCCCAGUACUUCCA